rfam:Parcubacteria (Magasanikbacteria) bacterium GW2011_GWA2_37_8 TS58_C0007, whole genome shotgun sequence.
GCCGGGAUAGCUCAGUUGGUAGAGCGGCUGUUUUGUAAACAGCGGGUCGCGGGUUCGAAUCCUGUUCCCGGCU